CGGCUCUUGUGUCAGCUUUUCUGGGCUCAAAUGUUAACUCUUACUUUUUCAGCUGUGUAAACUUGAGUGAGUUACUUAAGCUCUCUCAGUCUCACUUUUGUCAAAAAAUGGGGGUAAUAAUAGUCUAAUUUUGUAAAUGUAUUGGUAGCAUGCUUAAUCAGUACUGGGCACAUGUGCCUAAUACGUGAUAGUCAUUAUUAUUCCAGAAGGUGAAUUUUCUGAAGGAAAAUACUAUUUGUAAUUCACCUUUGUAUCUUCAUAAUCAGGCACAAUUUUGAUAUAUAGCAGACAAUCAAUACAUAUUUGUUGAGCAAUGAAUAUAUAUAAACUAUUCUCUGACUGUCAGAACAUAGUUACUGUAUGGAAGACCAAUCCAGAAACAAGCCUUAUGGUGAAAGGAUUUUAAAAAUUAUGGUACUACUUUCCUUCUUUCUUUUCCCCUUCUUUCUGUGAAUUAGAAUUUUGACUUAGAUAGAAUGCAUGGAUAUAUAAUUAGGUGGUGUUAUUGAAUGUGGAAAUUUAAUAUAAUUAAUUCAUUGAGAAUUCUUUGUUCAGUAAAUAAAUAUUUAUCAAGGGACUGAUACAUGUAGGGCAUUCUUGUAGGUACUGGAGCUGCAAUGUUGCAUUCUUUGUAACUGGAAGCAGACACAAUUUUCUGCAUAUUUCUAAGCAGAGUAAAUGACAGGGGCCACAAAGGCCUGGAAUCUGCUCUGUUUCCUUCUCAUUAAGCCUUCAGGGACAACGUUUGACCAGAGUGAAAAGGGAACAACUGAAGUGUGCUGUUCUCUGUCAGGUCCCUGUUAUUUGUUCCCGGAUGACCUCAACUUUGUGGGACGCAUCGUUCAGACUCCCCUGCUCAGUUUUCUGAGCGUGGAUUGCUGCAGGACUGGGUGUCUUCUCUCUCUCUCUGUUUCUUCUGGUUCUUAGCUCUGUUAGCCUCCCUUUUCUUCCCAACAGAAAAUCUCUUUAACAGACAUGAUCCAAAGUGACUCUGGAAAUUUUCCUGAUUUUCAGGCUUUUUUAAACAAGGUUGGUCUUGAACCAGUGCUUCAGAAUGGAGUGCAGCUCUUGGCUCACUAGUCCUCUUAUUGCAAGCCAUUUCCAUAUCUUUGGCACAUAAUUGACAUUCAUAAGUAAAAGCUGGCUUAUAUCAAUCCUGGUUCAUCUUUAAUUACUGACUCUUCAGAUCCCUAGGACUGAAUAUCUCGCCAUAUGCCCAUUCCAGAAUUGUAUACUGUUCUUCUGUUUGCAGUUGCAAUCCACCCAAAGGUUAGGGUAGAAAAUCUGAUUAUAUUCUCCUUCUACUUUCCCUGACAGAAAUAGUUUAUUCUAUUAUAAUCUUCUAACAAGCACUCUGUAUGGGAAAUAAUCCCUCUAAUAUUUGAGUAUGGCUGUCUAAUCUGAGAAAUGUCAUAUAGUGAAACAACCCUUUCCUUGAUUAGCAACAUUAAUCAGCAACUUAGCCACCCACCCCUGAUGUACUUAUUUCUGUCUCAGUUUCCUCAUAUGUAGAAGGAGAGUCAUAGUAGUACCCAGCACUUAGGCUUGCUGCAUGGAUAAAAUGAAUUAAUAACAUGUAUUGUGCUUAGUAUGCUGCCAGCACUUUGUAAGUGUUCAAUAAAUGAUAGCUAUCAUUGUUCUUAUUCAUAGUAUUACAUAGUCCCCAAGAGACAAAAUGAUAUUAUUUAUAAGUGUGCCUAAUAUGUAUUUUUAUAUAAUUGGAAUAUUGUAGAGUCAUUAAAAAAACCUUUUCAUUUGAGAACAGUUGUAGAGUUACAGAAAAGUUGCAAAGUUAGUAUUGAGCAUUCCCAUAUACCACACACCCAGUUUCUCCUGUUGUUAACACCUGACUUUACUAUGGAAACCUUGUUACCACUAAGAAACUAACAUUGAUAUACUACUCUUAACUCCAUACUUCACUGGACUUCACUGGUUUUUCUCUCAUGUCUCCAUCCUGGGCUCCCAUGUAUGACACUCUAAUAUGCUCAGUCAUUAUGCUUCCUUAGGUCCCCUCUGGCUAUGACAAUUUCUCAGAUUUUCCUUGUUUUUAUUGACUGUCAGUUUUGAGGACUAUUGGUUGGAUAUUUUGGAGAAUGCUCUUUGUUUUGUGCUUGUCAUGAUCGUUUUUUCAUGACAAGACUGGAGUUAUAUGUGCCCUUCUCAUCACAGCUUAUUAUUAAUACAGUAUACACUAUUAAUCUGACUUAUGUUGAUAUUAACUUUGAUCAGUUUGCUGAGGUAAUGUUUAUCAUGUUUCUUCAUGGUAAAGUUAAUUUUACCUUGUUUUAAGAUAUAUUUGUCAUAGACCUUUGGGAUAUGUGCAAAAUUUAAAACAUCUCGCAUGUCAAAUGUAAGAAUACCAAAGGCUUAUUUUAAUAGAGAAGCAUAAUCCUACAUCUCAUUUGGAAUAUAUUCCUUGAAUCCUAUCAGAACCAACUAUUGUGAUGAAAAGAUAGACAGCACAUCACCUCACUACUGCCUCCAACGUGAUUUUGUCCCUGCCUUCCCACAGGUGGCUGGAAAGCUAGACAGGUAGACAGAGAUGAAAUGACUGCAGAAGAAAAAUUGGAAGCUAGCUGAAAGUUGGAAGAAGAAAACCUCACAAACAAAAGUUGGUUUGUGAGGUUUUAAGGAAAGAAGCCAUUUCUGCAACACGAAAGUGCAAGAUAAAGCUGCAAAUGCUGAUGGAGAAGUUAUAGAAAGACAAUUCCAGGGAGUUAAAGUGAAGAAAAACAACAACAAAAUAAUUCAAGUGAAGAGGUGGAGCCCAAAUAGGGCUGUGGUAUUGAGCUGACUCUAGUGUUACACUACGAAAAUGCCUGUAACUGUAUCUCUGGACCAUCCCGGAGAGGAAAGGUUGUGCAUGCUGGGCAUAGGAGCUGAAGAGAGCCCUGUGGUAUCACCAGCAAGGCAGCCCUUGGGCGGGAAGCCAGAGGGGAAGAAAAGGGACUGAAGAUGAAGCAACAUCCAGUUACAUCUGUGUGAAUUUGGUCUGAACACAUGGAAACCUGGAAGAGAGAUGUUAAAAUGGCCUGAAAAACAGGAUAAUUUGUGUUGGAUGCAAAGGUCUUUAUUUCUUUCUGCCAGCAUGAUCUAAAUAUAUCCUAAUACCUCAUGGGCUUAGUCUCUGCACUGCAGAUGUCUUUUUUCUUAUUGAGAUUAUUUCCCUAUUGUAGAUUGCUGGUGAAAUUUCUGCUGCCAAAUGACGAUGCAUGGGGAACGUUCUAAGAUGGGUGAAGAGCCUUAUGGGCCAUGUCUGUAGAGGGAAGAGUGUAAGAACAUUCUUGGAAACACAGUUCUUCUCUCCUUUGACUGCUUUCUUAGGAGUACUCUUUAAGGAGAAUUUCUGCCUCGUUACAAGGAGAUCUCACAUAUGUGAGGGCUGUGUAUUACACACUUGAGAGUGGCUAAGAACAGCUGGCCAUAUAGCUGCCAACAUUACAACUGACAGAAAGAGGAUGCUCUGAAUCAAUGCCCUAGUGAGGAUGUGCAGAAUUCUCUGAGGGGGAUAAAAACACAUUGAAAAUAAUGUUAAGAAAGAAGCCUUUGCUCACAAGACAGUACUUAUUUCAAAUUUCUUGAAAAAUUCUCAGACUGCAGUCAUAAAUAUUACUCUACUUAAAAUACACUGCUAUAUGAGUUAUUUCAUUUGUAAAAAGAAAAAAAUGUAUAACAGAAAAUAUAAACAAAUAAGUUCGUGUGUACUUACUUAAAUUUUAUCCCAGGACUAGAAUCAAGGCAGAUCUUUUUUCUUUCUGGUGGAGGCAGUUCUUUAUCAUGAAAGGUAUAAAUACAUUUUCUCAGAAAAAUACACUUUCCACAUGAACUCUGCAGAGAUGGCUGCACAUACACAGGUUUGCAAGAAAUGUCAGACCCUUGAAGUUUCCCUCUUUAAUAAAUGCAGAAUGAAAGGAUAAUUUGACAUAGUUUCUUAUGAAACUGGUAAUAAGAAUUAACUUUAAGCAAACCCAUUUCCCCAAUAGAAUUGCAUGCUUACUUUCUAACAAAUUAGAUAAAUUGUAUAUGGAACUAUCUUUUUUAAAAAUUUUUGGGCAAUUGUAAAAUUUUCAAAGUAAUUUUUCUGUUUAUGAACAAACCAAUCUAAGUUCAAAGAAAAACCUCAAAAUAUGAGAAAUUCAGGAAGGAUAGGUUAUAUGUUGAAAGUAUAGUAGAGCUGAGAAUUUCCCAAUAUGGAGACAAAAAAGCUAUAGGGAGAUAUGACAGCUUCUGAAAAUGUUAAGGAAUGUUAUCAGGAGGACAGGGACCAAUUCUCCUUAGUCAAUGAGAACAGAAAAGGAAGUAAUGAACUUUAACUAUAGCAUGAAAAUUUAAGUGAAAUAUAAAAAAACUUUUAAACCAUCAGAACAAUUAAGCAAAGGUACAAAUAAUAAAUUCACCCUUACUAAUCAUAUUCAAAGUAGCACUUGAUACUCAUCCAUUAGGGAUAAGUUAGAAAUAAUAAAACCAAUUUUACCAACAUUCUGGGAGUAGAUUAAAUGAUUUAAGAGGGAAUACUUCUCAAAAUCCUCACAAUGUUCUAAAAAAUAGACUCUGAAAAAGAUUAGCUUUUAAAAUAUAUAGGAGGAAAAAAAUAUCAAUUCUACAAAGAGUUGUUAGUUUUCUACCAUAUACAAAACUCAAACUUAGUCUCUCUGGAGGAAAUGAAAAUACAUUCUAAAUGACUCAAGACCUCAAGUCACUUAUUUGCUAGCAAAGUUGUGCUCCAGUUUCUAUUUUAUUACAUAUUGUGAUUACUAAAAAUAUUUUGAGCACUCAAUCCUAAGAAAAGUACAUUUGUUUAUUCAUAAAAUGUAAAAUGUAUUAUGUAUAUUAUAACGUUAAUGUGAUAUAAAUUUUAAAAGAUGAGAUAAGCUAAAUCUUUAAUUAAAAUUUUUUUUAUUUUUAUGGAUACUUAAAGCUUAUACAUACAUAUGGGUACAUGGGAUAUUGUGAUACAAGCAUACAGUAUGUAAUGAUCAAAUCAGAAUACUUGGGAUAUCCGUCACCUCAAGCAUUUAUCAUUUCUUUGUGUUAGGAAGAUUCCAAUUUGACUUAUUUAUUUAAAAUAUAAAAUAAAGUAUUAUUAACUAUGGUCUCCCUAUUGUGCUUUUUAUCCCUCUUCUCCCCACCACCCUUCCCAGCCUCUGAUGAGCAUCAUUUUACUCUCUUUCCAUGAGUUAAUUUCUUAAUGUCCUAUAUAUGAAUUAGUAUAUGCAAUAUGUAUCGUUCUCUGCCUGGUUCAUUUCACUUAACAUGAUGCCCUCCAGUUCUAUCCAUACUGUUACAAAUGACAGGACUUUAUUCUUUUUUUAUGGCUGAAUAAUGUUUUA